UUUGCUGCUUGUGAAAUGGGAGGUCACAAAUAAUUUUGUAAAGCACUCCAUUUAUUUGUAAAAGACUCCACUUAUAAUUCCACUAAGUUGUCCACUGUUUUUCCACAGCUGGAAGAAAAGUUCUAGUUGAUUGUUUCGCUGGCCAGUGAGGAGCUUAAAAGAAAAUUUAAGAGUUUAAAUUCCUGUCAUGGAAAUACUUUUAUCUUCUGAUCUCCAUAGACUCUUUAAGGUUGUCAGAACAGAGGCGUUUGCAAUGAAGCAAAUUCAGAGGAAAACUGAAGUGAGGAGUUUCAAAUGCAAAAUGUUACUCCACACACAGGAAAUGACUGAUAAGAGCCUCAGGGUCAGAUAGCGAUGGAGCGAUGGAAUGUACCAGCCUCCCCAUGCCAGAUCGGAGAGAAACUGAGGAGCUGAAAACAAAGACGAUAUCCAACCCCAGUGGCUCCUCCCAGAGCAUGUGCAGGGGUUGGGACAUUAAA